rnacentral:rRNA from 1 species
CAGAGGGUGCUAGCGUUAAUCGGAAUUACUGGGCGUAAAGGGUGUGUAGGUGGUUUGAUAAGUUAGAUGUGAAAUCCCCGGGCUUAACCUGGGAACUGCGUUUAAAACUGUUGAACUAGAGUACUGUAGAGGAUAGUGGAAUUUCCAGUGUAGCGGUGAAAUGCGUAGAUAUUGGAAGGAACACCAGUGGCGAAGGCGACUAUCUGGACAGAUACUGACACUGAGACACGAAAGCGUGGGGAGCAAACAGGAUUAGAUACCCUGGUAGUCCAUGCUGUAAACGAUGAGAACUUGCUGUUGGAUGCAUAAAAGCAUUUAGUAGCGAAGCUAACGCGAUAAGUUCUCCGCCUGGGGAGUACGGCCGCAAGGCUA